GAUGAACGCUGGCUACAGGCUUAACACAUGCAAGUCGAGGGGAAACGGCAUUGAGUGCUUGCACUGAAUGGACGUCGACCGGCGCACGGGUGAGUAACGCGUAUCCAACCUUCCCGUUACUGCGGGAUAACCUGCCGAAAGGCAGACUAAUACCGCAUGUUCUUCGAUGACGGCAUCAGAUUCGAAGCAAAGAUCCGUCGGUAACGGAGGGGGAUGCGUCUGAUUAGCUAGUUGGCGGGGCGACGGCCCACCAAGGCGACGAUUAGUAGGGGUUCUGAGAGGAAGGUCCCCCACAUUGGAACUGAGACACGGUCCAAACUCCUACGGGAGGCAGCAGUGAGGAAUAUUGGUCAAUGGGCGGAGGCCUGAACCAGCCAAGUAGCGUGCAGGAUGACGGCCCUACGGGUUGUAAACUGCUUUUAUGCGGGGAGAAAGUGAGGGACGCGUCCCUUUUUGCAGGUACCGCAUGAAUAAGGACCGGCUAAUUCCGUG
rnacentral:rRNA from 1 species